rnacentral:rRNA from 1 species
CAGUCGCCGCGGUAAUACGUAGGGUGCAAGCGUUAAUCGGAAUUACUGGGCGUAAAGCGUGCGCAGGCGGCUAUGCAAGACAGAUGUGAAAUCCCCGGGCUUAACCUGGGAACUGCAUUUGUGACUGGCGAGCUAGAGUAUGGCAGAGGGGGGUAGAAUUCCACGUGUAGCAGUGAAAUGCGUAGAGAUGUGGAGGAAUACCGAUGGCGAAGGCAGCCCCCUGGGCCAAUACUGACGCUCAUGCACGAAAGCGUGGGGAGCAAACAGGAUUAGAUACCCCUGUAGUCCCUGUCUCUUAUAA